CGGAAUUAUUGGGCGUAAAGCGUUUGUAGGCGGGCGAGUGUGUUUAAUGUUAAAUCUUAAAGCUCAACUUUGAAAUUGCGUUAAAAACUGCUUGUCUUGAGUAUGGUAGGGGUAAAGGGAAUUCCCAGUGUAGCGGUGAAAUGCGUAGAUAUUGGGAAGAACACUAAACAGCGAAGGCACUUUACUAGGCUAAUACUGACGCUGAGAAACGAAAGGUAAGGUAGCGAAACGGAUUAGAUACCCGUGUAGUCUUACCCGUAAACUAUGGACACUAAACGGUAAAUUUUUAAUUUACUGUUAAAGCUAACGCGUUAAGUGUCCCGCCUGGGGAGUAUGCUUGCAAAAGUGAAACUCAAAGGAAUUGACGGGGGCCCGCACAAGCGGUGGAGCAUGUGGUUUAAUUCGACGGUACACGAAGAACCUUACCAGGAUUUGACAUGCUAGAUAGUUGCUUGAAAGAGUAACGUGCCGUAAGGAAUCUAGACACAGGUGGUGCAUGGCUGUCGUCAGUUCGUGUUGUGAAAUGUUGGGUUAAGUCCCGCAACGAACGCAACCCUUGUCUUUAGUUAUUUUCUAAAGAGACUGCCUGUAAUAAACAGGAGGAAGGUAAGGAUGAGGUCAAGUCAUCAUGCCCCUUAUGUCCUGGGCUACACACGUGCUACAAUGGGAAAGACAAUGAGCUGCAAAUCUGUAAAUUUAAGCAAAUCUCUUAAACUUUCUCGUAGUUCGGAUUGUGGGCUGCAACUCGCCCACAUGAAGUUGGAAUCGCUAGUAAUCGCCAGUCAGCUAUAUGGCGGUGAAUCCGUUCCCGGGCCU
rnacentral:rRNA from 1 species